rnacentral:rRNA from 1 species
AACGAACGCUGGCGGCGUGCUUAACACAUGCAAGUCGAACGGAAAGGCCCUGCUUUUGUGGGGUGCUCGAGUGGCGAACGGGUGAGUAACACGUGAGUAAUCUGCCCUUGACUUUGGGAUAACUUCAGGAAACUGGGGCUAAUACCGGAUAGGAGCUCCUGCUGCAUGGUGGGGGUUGGAAAGUUUCGGCGGUUGGGGAUGGACUCGCGGCUUAUCAGCUUGUUGGUGGGGUAGUGGCUUACCAAGGGUUUGACGGGUAGCCGGCCUGAGAGGGUGACCGGCCACAAUGGGACUGAGAGAGGGCGCAGUCGCCUACAGUGGGCAACAGGGGGAAAUAUUACACAAUGGGCGGAAGCCUGAGGCAGCGACGCCGCGUGCGGGAUGACGGCCUGUGGGUUGUGAACCGCUUUCGGCUGUGACGAAGCGUGAGUGACGGUAAUGGGUAAAGAAGCACCGGCUAACUACGUG